rfam:Epibiont metagenome ALV_LSB_101_B12.x01, whole genome shotgun sequence.
GUAUUGGUGACAAUGCUUCUGGAGGAAGCCGCCGGAUAAAAUAUCCGGUACCACGAAGGUGCGGGGUGACGAACAGGAAUCGGGUAUAAGGCGCAUGCGCUGGGACGAGUCUGCACAACAAGAUAAAGUCCUCUAUCCAUCAUAGGGCGUAUCCGUAAACCCGGCAUUCACGCACUGAAAGACAUGUGU